AUUGAUAUAUUCUUCUUCCUUUUACUGCUAACUCUUUUUUUUUUUUAAUCUUAUUUUACUUUGUCUUUAUUUUAUAAUAAAUUUAAUAUUUCUUUGCUAAAUUAAGAUUUGUUAGAUUUAUAAUUAAUUUUGUUGAUUUUUGUAUUCUCUGAUUAAUUAGAGAAGAUAUAUUUUAAUUUUUGAAUAUCCUUUAAUUAAUUAAGUUCUUGUUUAAUCCUGGGAAAAUAUUUCACAUUGUAAGAAUAGUUUCUUAGGACAGUGCCUAGCUCGAUUCAAAUAUUUUAUAUAUUACUUAAAAUAUUAUUUAAUUAUUAUUAUUAUUAAUGUUAUUAUUUGUAACACCCGUACUUUUGGGCUAGAAUCUAGAUUGUCGUUCCUACGCAUAUAGACCCGAACUAGAUAAUUCCUUGUUAAUAUAUGUGAGUUUAAUCCUAUAGUGUGGGAAUAUCUAUGAAUAUGAAUUGAUAUCACAAAAUCCUCUAACUCUAAGACGAGUUGAAAACAUUUCUAGCGAUUAAGUUUCAGUGGAUGUUGAAACUUGGGUCAACUUUCAUCGACCAUAACUUCUUGUAUACAUCAAAUUAGAGGACCCACUAUAUAUCAAAUGAAAGGUCUUCGAAGUAUCUUUUCAACGAUAUCAAUUUCGUCAAAAUUUGAUACCCAAACGAAAAGUUAUAGCCAUUUUUGUGAGAGAGGCAGUAGCUGUGCGCGAUUAGCAUGCCACGUACGCACCUAAUUUUCAGGUUCUGUUUUUGCGUUUUUAAGGGCAAUUUGGGCCUUUACCUCACCCAAGGUUUGUCCAUAACAUAAGAUUCACUCCCCAAAAGAAGAAUACACUCCAUAAUUCAAUUUUUUCCUCUCAAAUUAAAACCCUAAAUCUUUUCCCUCAAGAUCAAGAAUCAACAUCUUAAGUUCAAGACUCCAAGAAAAGGGUCAAGAUCCGGGUUCCAUCUAUCAAGAUCUAGGUUCCAUCUUUCAACUCUUAUAAUCUAAGGUACGUGGGGUUCAUCCUAAAAAUUACAUGGGCUUGUUGAAUCUCUUGAAUAUGAUUUAAAGAUUAUCAAACAUGAAUUUUAAAGCGGUUUUGGAACUUAUGCUUUAAAUGUCGCAUUUUGGAUGUUUUGAUAAUAUUUAUUGUUUUGGCCUUUAGGCCUUUCCCCCUUAAAUUGAUUUACAUCUAUAUGUAUAUGUAUGAUAUUGAAGAUUUGAUUGAGAGCAUUAACAUUGAAAUCCCUCUCUUUGAUGAUUUAUAGUUUAUGAAACUGUUGAGAAUGAUUUGAGAUGCAUGUUUAAUGGUUUGAAAGUGGUCUUUUCAAUAUUAAAGUAAUUAACAUGAUUUUGAUGAUGCUGAGAGGGAGUUUCUUGAUAUGAUUUCGUUCUUGUGUUAAAGAGAGAAUUGUAUGUGAUUGAUAUCUUUGACACGACCACCUUGUGUGUGUUUGAAAUGUCGAAAAUGAGAGUUUUCUUGCAUGUGUUUACAUGAGUUUUAAAGAAUGAGUUUCUUGAAAGGAAUUGUUGAUAUGGUGGUCCUGAAUUCCAUGUUUCGAGAACAGAGAUAUAAUUUUCUAUAAAUGGCUCAGAGAAUGUGACUUGCAAUUCAAUGGUAUGACGAUGCGAAAUAAAUUUAUGCCAUAACAGAAAUAGAGUCUUCAGAGUCUGAUUUCAAAGAUUGCAUGUUGUAAAGAAUUAAAAAUGGGCUUAAAGAGGGUUAGGUGGUCACCCGAAGAGGGCACGAUCCAAAUAGCUCAUAGCCUAAAAUCGUGUUUUGCCGAUACGGGUAUGUUACUUUUGUACGCUGACGAUGGCCCUGUGGUGUAGUAGAGAUUCAGAGACUCCGACCCUUGCGGUAAACUUGGGUUGGGGGCUUGGCUGCCGAGUUAAGGGCAGAUUUCAUAUAGCCCAUGGAAUUACAGAAUUGUAGGGUAUACCACCUAGCGCAGAAGUAAAACAAAGAGUAUGUCACAAAGUUCAGAUGAUUUUAUAGAGUCUUUUAAAUAUGCCCAUGUGAUUCUUAACACAUGAUAUAUUUAUGAACUGUUUUAAAUCGCUCUCAUAUAUGCUGAAUAAAAAUUAUUAUUUUGGAUUUGCUCUAUGUACCAGUACAACUGUAUUGACCCCCUAUCUCUCAGAGUCUGAGGCUCAAUCUAGAGGUUCAGCUAAGCAGUAGAGAUUUCAGAGAGAAGAGACUGUGCAGUGGUGAGCCUUCUUUAUUUCAGAAGGCCUUUUUAUUCCAGUCUAUGUAAUUAUUUUAUUUUGGGUCUACUGGGGGCCGUGUCCCAGAUUCAGACAGUUAUCAUUUUAGCAUGUAAUAGAGAUUUCGUAGAUUGGUUCAGAUAUUGUCUAGAGUUCUUGUAUUUCAAAUUCCUUAUUGUUAAAUUGAGUUCAGAUUAUGACCAUGAUUCCGUAUUAAGUUAUAUUUUCGCAUCUUACUUUACUGUAUGAAUAUUGUGCAUGACUAUCAGAUAGAGAAGGGCGUCUGAGCCUUCAAGGUUCAGAAUGCUUGUCAUAGCCAGGGCCUCGUUUCAAAUCGUGACAUUAUUAUCAUCGUCAUUAUUGUUAUUGUAAAUUGUUAAUUCUACUAAACUGAUAAUAAGAAAUAUUAUUAUAGUAGUCAGUUUAUUUAUUUUCUCUACUGAUAUUGAAAUCUCUAUUAUUGUUUUCCCAAAAAGGCUUUCUGCCAUCUGGAUUUGUUCAGGUGUACCGAAUAUGAUCACUUUUCCAUCACAUUCCCCAAGCCAUCCAAAAGUGAGCACCAUUCCCUGCAUUUUCUCCAUAAUGUAGAAUAUCCAGAUCAACAAACAAAGAAACAGAUACAGAAACAGCGGGAGAAGAAGAUUGACAGUUGAAUAAUUUUUCAUACAGCAUCCAUUCGAGGCCCCAAUCACCCUCGUAGAACAGAUUCGAAAACCUCAUCGAGUGUAACCUUAAACCUCCCAUACACAGACUACAACACAUAGCCAUACACGAGAGAGGGGGAAAACAGUGAAAGAAAAAGAGAGAGAAAGAGGGAAAAACAGAGAGGGAGCUCCAUCGGGGAGAAACCAGUAGAAAACAAAUUCUUUUUUGACGGAAUAACACCGAUGAAACCACCUUCUAAAUCCAAAUCACCACCAGUUUCUUUUUCCGAUCAAAUUCCUCCAGAAAUCGAUCGAAAACACAAAAUAGCUACAAAAAUGCCCGAAACAAACCCAUUCACCAUAAAUCCACCAAUUCCGUCGAAAUCCACGAGAAAACCAACAAAAUAGAUAUGUUCGCGUGUGAAAUUUGGUACGGGUUGUUCUCAUUUUCGUGAGUUUAGGCUUGGGUUAUUGAAGAAUAGAAAUAGGUGUAGACAAGAGCCGGGUUCGUUCAUUGUGAUGUUCGGCUCAAGGUGAUAUUAAAGGUGUUCUGGAUUCAUUUAAACAUACA
rnacentral:lncRNA from 1 species